CUGGGGAGUACGGUCGCAAGGCUAAAACUCAAAGGAAUUGACGGGGGCUCACACAAGCGGUGGAGCAUGUGGCUGAAUUCGAAGCAACGCGAAGAACCUUAUCCUGGGGUUUGACAUGUACGGAUUAACUCCUGGAAACAGGAGCCACGCCCUUCGGGUGGAACGUACACAGGUGCUGCAUGGCUGUCGUCAGCUCGUGCUGUGAAGUGUCGGGUUAAGUCCCUUAACGAGCGCAACCCCUAUCGCUAGUUGCCAGCGCGUCAUGGCGGGGACUCUAGCGAGACUGCCGGUCUCAAACCGGAGGAAGGUGGGGACGACGUCAAGUCCGCAUGGCCUUUAUGCCCAGGGCUGCACACGUGCUACAAUGGCCGGUACAGAACGAUGCAAGACCGCGAGGUGGAGCAAAUCGCUAAAACCGGCCCCAGUUCAGAUUGGAGGCUGCAACUCGCCUCCAUGAAGUCGGAAUCGCUAGUAAUCGGCGCACUCCGCUACGCCCCGGUGAUACGUUCCUGAGCCUUGUACACACCGCCCGUCAAGUCAUGGAAGCUGGCAGCACCCGAAGUCGCCGCGAUUCAGCGGUGCCCACGG
rnacentral:rRNA from 1 species